CCUAAUGUUGAGACGGGAUCUCCUUUCUUGCCAUUUGAAUGCCCUCUGGAGAUUAAGCAGUCCGGCAUCCCGUUCCCCACAGUGGCUAAGCAGAUGCUGUUAGGAAUGGUGACCGUCGUCGAGAGGUGCGCUGCCUCUGAGCGUGAGACUUGCAUUUUGCUAAGAGCUGCUGAUAAGACUCUCAGGGCUUGCUGAACCCACUGAGGAAGAGAAACCUGCAGGAGCUGGUGGCCUUUGCAACGCCUUUCGUAGUUCGUAGUUCCCUGCAACGUUGGCAAGGCGCUGGCCUGCUAGGUCAGCGAGGCGCAGCACCCAGCUCAACGUUAAUCAUUGACCCACAGUGGGGAAUUCCGCCUCUGGAGCGGCCGUCCCCAAGUUGCCCGAAGUAGGGCGAUUUUCCUGACAUCCUUUGGUAGUCGUGAUCUCCAUAUUUGGAAAUGUUUACCCAUGCUCUGAUCUAUUGGAAGGGGAGGGGAGGUGACUCAGGGCCUGGUGGAAGGGAGAUUUGAAUUCCUGCAGGCAGGAGAAGUUUUUCCCCUUCCUUCCUUCUUUCUUUCUUUCUGCCUGCCUGCCUCUCUCCCUCUUCCUUGUGCUUGUGGUCACUCCGGCAGUUUCGCUCACUCCUGGAGCCGCUUCCAAAUUUGUUCCGCUCUGGGACAAGGCGUCCCCUCGGCGAGGGAGAACAGCCCAGCCUCCAGCCCAGUCGGUUCUCCAGAGCUCUCCUCCUGAAAUCGCUUCCCAAGAGACAACAUUCCUUUUUCGACUGUGGGAUCCAGAACUGAGCAGCAGACUCCAGGUAAAUCCUUGCCAGAACUGAAAUCUGCAGUGCUGAUUAACUAUUGCAUCUUCUGAUCUGCAUAAGGAACAGCUAAUACGAUGUAUUGGUUUAAAGGCUUGAGAAACUGGGUUCAAAUCCUCACGCACCCUCAAAAAAUCACCGCCUGAUCUUAGGCCAGUCCUGAUUUUGGGCCAGUCCUGAUUUUGAUCUUGCAGCCUCUCCUACCUCGAAGGGCUGUUGUGAGGCUAAAAGAGGCGAUCCCUCAGAUUCCUGGAGGAAAGGCAGGAUAGAACUGUCAAAGACGGUUGCAUGGGAUUAUUGAGUGUGGACCUCCAUGUCAAACAAAAUUCCUUCCGUUAAAAAAACUGCACAUCAGGGAGAAGGCUGAGAGCAAGAGAACGCAUUUCCCUGACACCCGACUUUUCCGUGUCCUUGCAUCACACGCUACUCUCUCGUUUGCUUUUCGGUCCAAGGUUGAAUGUUUUCGUUUCUGCUGUUCUGGUAGCUUUGUGGCCCUGGCAAAGGUGGUUUGGGGUCAGCAGAGCGGCUUUACAAUGUGUGUGUACACAAAAACCCUCUCCGAAGUGAUGGAGCAUUGAUUUGUUCAAAGGCUUGCCUUUUUCCACGGCUCUUGUUGCCCUUCCUUUGCUACGCUUCUCUCUCUCUUCUUUCGCUCUUUAGUAAAGUAAAUAAUGCAUGCAGGAUGCAAACGAGGGCUGAAAUUUUAGAAGGGCUGACCCAACACAUUACUGCAGAUCAAUCCUUUCGGUUACGCGAAGCACUUCUUUAGAGGAGGAAAGGAACUCUGGUUUCGAGAAAAGCGCUGGGGUUUAUUUUGGGACUCGGUUUAGCUGCUUCUCCCUGCAUCUGGGGCAGAGGGGCGAAGAUUCCUCGUCAACAAACAACAAGCGCCGCUUGUGCCACUGGCCCCAUUCCCUCGCGCUGCCCAAAUUCAUACCUUGGAACCGUUAGGGUGCAAAGCCAGGGGCGCCCCCAACCUUUUUGCUCCUGGUGAGAAUGCAAAGAAGGGAGGGAAUAAUCUGCACCCGGGUCCUGGAAUUGUGCAUGCCACUUCCUGUACUUAGAAUCAUAGAAUCAUAGAGUUGGAAGAGACCCCAAGGGCCAUCGAGUCCAACCCCCUGCCAAGCAGGAAACACCAUCAGAGCACUCCUGACAUAUGGUUGUCAAGCUUCUGCUUAAAGACCUCCAAAGAAGGAGACUCCACCACACUCCUUGGCAGCAAAUUCCACUGUCAAACAGCUCUUACUGUCAGGAAGUUCUUCCUAAUGUUUAGGUGGAAUCUUUUUUCUUGUAGUUUGGAUCCAUUGCUCCGUGUCCGCUUCUCUGGAGCAGCAGAAAACAACCUUUCUCCCUCCUCUAUAUGACAUCCUUUUAUAUAUUUGAACAUGGCUAUCAUAUCACCCCUUAACCUCCUCUUCUCCAGGCUAAACAUGCCUCCCUUAGUCGUUCAUUGCAAACUUUGGUUCCUUCCAUCACUGAGCAUGCCAGCGUCUUUGCAGCGCCUUUCAGGAUGAGACUUUCCUUCCUUGGGUGCAUUUCCAGAAGCCUCCUGAGUUUGCCUGUCUAAUAUAUCCCCAACCUCACUAUCCCUGUACCAAAUUUGGUUUGCAGCAGGGAUGGCUCAUUGUGGAAGGCUGCCUGCCUGGGCUGGCAAAAUACCAGCACCCCAGUCCCCCCUUUUCAUAAAAUUUAUAUAAAAGGUAAAGGGACCCCUGACCAUUAGGUCCAGUCGUGGACGACUCUGGGGUUGUGGCGCUCAUCUCGCUUUACUGGCCGAGGGAGCCGGUGUACAGCUUCCGGGUCAUGUGGCCAGCAUGACUAAG
ensembl:lncRNA